rnacentral:rRNA from 1 species
GAUGAACGCUGGCGGCGUGCCUAAUACAUGCAAGUCGAGCGAACAGACGAGGAGCUUGCUCCUCUGACGUUAGCGGCGGACGGGUGAGUAACACGUGGAUAACCUACCUAUAAGACUGGGAUAACUUCGGGAAACCGGAGCUAAUACCGGAUAAUAUAUUGAACCGCAUGGUUCAAUAGUGAAAGACGGUUUUGCUGUCCCUUAUAGAUGGAUCCGCGCCGCAUUAGCUAGUUGGUAAGGUAACGGCUUACCAAGGCAACGAUGCGUAGCCGACCUGAGAGGGUGAUCGGCCACACUGGAACUGAGACACGGUCCAGACUCCUACGGGAGGCAGCAGUAGGGAAUCUUCGGCAAUGGGCGAAAGCCUGACGGAGCAACGCCGCGUGAGUGAUGAAGGUCUUCGGAUCGUAAAACGCUGUUAUUAGGGAAGAACAACUGUGUAAGUAACUAUGCACGUCUUGACGGUACCUAAUCAGAAAGCCACGGCUAACUACGUG